rnacentral:rRNA from 1 species
AUUGAACGCUGGCGGCAUGCCUAACACAUGCAAGUCGAACGGCAGCAUGAAAUGGGUAACCAUUUUGAUGGCGAGUGGCGGACGGGUGAGUAAUACGUAGGAAUCUACCUAGAGGUAGGGGAUAACUUAGGGAAACUUAAGCUAAUACCAUAUAAGCCCCAAGGGGGAAAGCAGGGGAUCUUCGGACCUUGCGCCUUAUGAUGAGCCUACGUCGGAUUAGCUUGUUGGUGGGGUAAAGGCCUACCAAGGCGACGAUCCGUAGCUGGUCUGAGAGGAUGAUCAGCCACACUGGGACUGAGACAUGGCCCAGACUCCUACGGGAGGCAGCAGUGGGGAAUAUUGGACAAUGGGGGGAACCCUGAUCCAGCAAUGCCGCGUGUGUGAAGAAGGCCUUAGGGUUGUAAAGCACUUUCAGUGGGGAGGAAGGUUGUAGUGUUAAUACCAUUGCAACUUGACGUUACCCACAGAAGAAGCACCGGCUAACUCUGUGCCAGCCGCCGCCGUAA